rnacentral:lncRNA from 1 species
CUCAUGCAUAGCUUGACUUAGUAGUCAAAUGAUAUCAUCCAUGAAAUUUAUCUCCAGUCUUCUUCUCCCAUUAUGUGUGCUGGCUUCAUUCUCAGAUAGGUUCUCCUACUCUAUGCAGGAUUAAAUCCAGGAAAAAAGAAGAGAAAUAGCAAUUUAAAAAAAUCUUUCUCUUUUCUGAUCAAUCUCUCCUCUGAUUGGUUCAAACUGGCCCCACUGUGAUUUCAUAACUACCCUCACCACAAUGAUUAUAGUCAAGGGAAUGAAAUGUGUUUCUUGGCUUGGGCUUAAGUCUUACGCCCAUGUCUGGAACUGGAGUGGGAUCGGCCACAUUGAAAGAACACAGCCUGAGGGCAGGGAAGCUAUUGAGCCCCAGAGAGAAGUUAAAGUACUUUUCAUGAAAGAUCAUUGUCUGUUAAGACUCCAUCGCAGAGAAGUUAAAGAGCUUCAAUCACCAUGCUUUCAGGGUCAAUUUGUCUCCGAAAAGGAACAGAUGGGGAAGAAUUAUUCCAUUCACAGUUGACUUGUCAGAAAUUCUAAGAUCUUGGACUGGCUGAAAGCAAUGAUGUUGCCAUUCAUCCUUUCACGUAUUCAUUAUGGUCUACAGCUGAGAAGGGCUAUUUGGGGUUUGCUUUGCCUGAUGGUAGCAGAAGAAAACCAAGAGGCCUCUCUACGAAAGCUUGCAGUAAGGAGAAAGGUAAAAUGUUAAGUCUAAAGAGAACCAAAGAAAUUACCUGGUCCAACCUUUUCAUUCUACAAGUGGGAAAACUUGCUGAAAGUUGCUUAAUUUUUCUGGAUCUGAGGCACACAGUUCAUUUAUUAU